CCUACGGGGGGCUGCAGUGGGGAAUAUUGGACAAUGGGGGCAACCCUGAUCCAGCCAUGCCGCGUGUGUGAAGAAGGCCCUCGGGUUGUAAAGCACUUUCAGUGAGGAAGAACGCCUGGUGGUUAAUACCCAUCAGGAAAGACAUCACUCACAGAAGAAGCACCGGCUAACUCCGUGCCAGCAGCCGCGGUAAUACGGAGGGUGCGAGCGUUAAUCGGAAUUACUGGGCGUAAAGCGCGCGUAGGUGGCUUGAUAAGCCGGUUGUGAAAGCCCCGGGCUCAACCUGGGAACGGCAUCCGGAACUGUCAAGCUAGAGUGCAGGAGAGGAAGGUAGAAUUCCCGGUGUAGGGGUGAAAUGCGUAGAGAUCGGGAGGAAUACCAGUGGCGAAGGCGGCCUUCUGGACUGACACUGACACUGAGGUGCGAAAGCGUGGGUAGCAAACAGGAUUAGAUACCCGGGUAGUC
rnacentral:rRNA from 1 species